rnacentral:rRNA from 1 species
GACGAACGCUGGCGGCGCGCCUAACACAUGCAAGUCGAACGGAGCUGAGAGAAGCUUGCUUUUCUUAGCUUAGUGGCGAACGGGUGAGUAACGCGUGAGUAACCUGCCCUGGAGUGGGGGACAACAGUUGGAAACGACUGCUAAUACCGCAUAAGCCCACGAUCCGGCAUCGGCUUGAGGGAAAAGGAUUUAUUCGCUUCAGGAUGGACUCGCGUCCAAUUAGCUAGUUGGUGAGGUAACGGCCCACCAAGGCGACGAUUGGUAGCCGGACUGAGAGGUUGAACGGCCACAGUGGGACUGAGACACGGCCCAGACUCCUACGGGAGGCAGCAGUGGGGGAUAUUGCACAAUGGGGGAAACCCUGAUGCAGCGACGCCGCGUGGAGGAAGAAGGUUUUCGGAUUGUAAACUCCUGUCGUUAGGGACGAUAAUGACGGUACCUAACAAGAAAGCACCGGCUAACUACGUG